rnacentral:rRNA from 1 species
GAUGAACGCUAGCGGGAGGCCUAAUACAUGCAAGUCGAGCGGUAGAGUGACUUCGGUUGCUUGAGAGCGGCGAACGGGUGAGUAACGCGUACACAAUCUACCUUUAAGAGGGGAAUAGCCCUGGGAAACUGGGAUUAAUGCCCCAUGGCAUCACGAGACGGCAUCGUUUUGUGAUUAAAGCUGAGGUGCUUAGAGAUGAGUGUGCGUCUGAUUAGCUAGUUGGUGCGGUAACGGCGCACCAAGGCGACGAUCAGUAGGGGGCGUGAGAGCGUGGACCCCCACACGGGUACUGAGACACGGACCCGACUCCUACGGGAGGCAGCAGUAAGGAAUAUUGGUCAAUGGAGGAAACUCUGAACCAGCCAUCCCGCGUGCAGGAAGAAUGCCCUAUGGGUUGUAAACUGCUUUUAUCUGGGAAGAAAGUCGGGAUUUAUCCUGAUCUGACGGUACCAGAGGAAUAAGCACCGGCUAACUCCGUGCCAGCAGCCG